UGGAUUUCACACUCUCUUUUAAGUGAUGGAUAUGUAGAAGGGCAUGAGUUAUUUUUAAAUUACUGAUCUAUCAAUUGAAUUUGGUAUCACAGAAGAAAGAAGCUAGCAAGAGUAGCAAGACAUGGAUCAGAGGAGAACUAAAGAUAGAAAGACUUGAAAAGCACAAAGAAUAUGAUGACAUUCUCUGGUAAUUCUGCAAAGGCUUAUUGCAUGCACGGUGCACCUUAUGCUGUGAGUAUGGUACCUAAGUUUGUUGAUUCAAACAUAGAUUAGCAGUUACUUGUGAACUACUUUACUAAAGAUGUGGAGUUUUUCCAUUUUUGGAUAAUUCAAGAAUCUUGAUGAUAACUUGCCAAGAACUAGAGUUUUCCA